UGGGGAAUUUUGGACAAUGGGGGCAACCCUGAUCCAGCAAUGCCGCGUGAGUGAAGAAGGCCUUCGGGUUGUAAAGCUCUUUUGUCAGGGAAGAAACGGGUGCGGCUAAUAUCUGCAUCUAAUGACGGUACCUGAAGAAUAAGCACCGGCUAACUACGUGCCAGCAGCCGCGGUAAUACGUAGGGUGCAAGCGUUAAUCGGAAUUACUGGGCGUAAAGCGUGCGCAGGCGGUUUUGUAAGUCUGUUGUGAAAUCCCCGGGCUUAACCUGGGAAUGGCAAUGGAGACUGCAAGGCUAGAGUUUGGCAGAGGGGGGUAGAAUUCCACGUGUAGCAGUGAAAUGCGUAGAGAUGUGGAGGAACACCGAUGGCGAAGGCAGCCCCCUGGGUCAAGACUGACGCUCAUGCACGAAAGCGUGGGGAGCAAACAGG
rnacentral:rRNA from 1 species